rnacentral:rRNA from 1 species
AGUGAACGCUGGCGGUAGGCCUAACACAUGCAAGUCGAACGGCAGCACAGGAGAGCUUGCUCUCUGGGUGGCGAGUGGCGGACGGGUGAGGAAGACAUCGGAAUCUACUUUUUCGUGGGGGAUAACGUAGGGAAACUUACGCUAAUACCGCAUACGACCUACGGCUGAAAGCAGGGGAUCUUCGGACCUUGCGCGAUUGAAUGAGCCGAGGUCGGAUUGGCUAGUUGGAGGGGUAAAGGCCCACCAGGGCGACGAUCCGUAGCUGGUCUGAGAGAAUGAUCAGCCACAGUGGAACUGGGACACGGUCCAGACUACUACGGGAGGCAGCAGUGGGGAAUAUUGGACAAUGGGCGCAAGCCUGAUCCAGCCAUACCGCGUGGGUGAAGAAGGCCUUCGGGUUGUAAAGCCCUUUUGUUGGGAAAGAAAUCCAGCUGGUUAAGACCCGGUUGGGAUGACGGUACCCAAAGAAUAAGCACCGGCUAACUUCGUGCCAGCCGCCGCGGUAA